rnacentral:rRNA from 1 species
UAGGGGGCGAGCGUUAUCCGGAUUUAUUGGGCGUAAAGGGUGCGUAGGCGGUUUAUUAAGUUUAAGAUAAAAGCCCGGAGCUUAACUCCGGUUCGUCUUAAAAACUGGUAGACUUGAGUAUAGUAGAGCCAAGUGGAAUUUCUAGUGUAGCGGUUAAAUGCGUAGAUAUUAGAAGGAACACCAGUGGCGAAGGCGACUUGCUGGGCUAUUACUGACGCUGAGGCACGAAAGCGUGGGGAGCAAA